UACAGAGGUCCCGAGCGUUGUUCGGAUUCACUGGGCGUAAAGGGUGCGUAGGUGGUAGGGUAAGUCGGAUGUGAAAUCUCGGAGCUCAACUCCGAAACUGCAUUGGAAACUACCCAACUUGAGGGUCGGAGGGGGACUGGAAUUCUCGGUGUAGCAGUGAAAUGCGUAGAUAUCGAGAGGAACACCAGUGGCGAAGGCGAGUCCCUGGACGACUCCUGACACUGAGGCACGAAAGCUAGGGGAGCAACAG
rnacentral:rRNA from 1 species